UGCCAGCCGCCGCGGUAAUACGGAGGGUGCAAGCGUUGCUCGGACUCACUGGGCGUAAAGGGUACGCAGGCGGCUCGUUAAGUCGGGUGUGAAAGCCCGGGGCUCAACCCCGGAACUGCGCUCGAUACUGGCGGGCUUGAGUACGGGAGAGGGAUAGCGGAAUUCCUGGUGUAGAGGUGAAAUUCGUAGAUAUCAGGAGGAACACCAGUGGCGAAAGCGGCUUCCUGGCCCGAUACUGACGCUCAUGUACGAAAGCGUGGGGAGCAAACAGGAUUAGAUA
rnacentral:rRNA from 1 species